CAAACUUAAGUGUAAUAUGAAUUGUUUAAUGUUAUAAAAUGUAAAUUAGCAUCUUUUAUAAAUACUCAACUAAUUUACAAUUGCCUCUAGAAUUGCAAAUAGGAUCACAAAAAGAGCAAGAAAAUGGAAGUUUGGCACUACUCUAAAACAGUACUUUAUUGUGGAAGAAUCUCUUUCAUUUAUGCAUUGGAAAGGAAGGAUUUGACAAAUUAAUAUUUCUUUCUUCUUAUCUCAGCCCUUCUGCUGCUCAAAUGCUCCCUGAGUUCAAAGUGAGGUCCACCUCCAAAGGCAGCAGCAGCAGGACACACAAUACUCCCUACAACGUGGGUGUAUGUAGCUUUUGGGAAUAUGUAGCUUUCGUUUUGCAUACAGUGGCUAAGAGAGAUGAAGUAUUCCCCAUUUCAUGGGCCUGAAGAGUGUCAGUCGUGAGAGUAGAUGUUUAGGAUGUUACCAUGCUCAAUGACAGAUCCUGAAUGACAAGGCACUUGUGUUCCUUAAUAACCUUUUCUUUUAUCUGUUUGUGGUAUUUGGGGUCCUUUGAAGUGUGGAGGCCAGGGCAGAGGUCCCUAUGCCUAGACCUGGGAAAGUUACUGACAGAAUAUUCCACAAGUCUACAGCUAGCUAAAAGGGAGACAGAGAUUAGUAUUUCAAAACAGCCUGUCACUGUCCCUCACUCCCCACAAAAAAGUCGUCAUUUUGAUGUUAGGGAGGAAAAAGUGAAUGCAAAUUGGUAGGAACUAAAGGCAUAAGCCACAAAGAGGGUAAUCAAGGCAAAAGGGCAUCAGAGAUUCUCUAGCUAUCCAAAUGUGAAAUCAAUGUAACCAAAAGAUAAAAAUCAGUACUUUAAAAAUAGAGCUGCAAUUUGAACCUAUGUCUAGUCCAUAGGCAGAAUUCCUGAUAAGGGGAGAACUUCUUGUAUGUUUUGUAUGUUUAGGAAAAAGAAUGUAGUAGGUUAAUUAAAAUAAAUAAAUAAAAUGGAAGACCUACAUGCAUAGACUAAAGAGGAGACCUUCAAUCAGAGUUUAUUUGCAUAAGGAAUAAAAGGAAUAAUUAAAUUCAUUUUGCAAGUUUGGGAAACAGGUUUGUGGACAGAGAGAAAAGCAAGAAGGGGUGGAAGAGAAGGUCCUCAGGACAGAGAGAGAAGUUUGAGGCAGAUGCACGGCUCUGAGGAAAAAGAUGCCCAGUGAUACUUUCUCUGUGAGAGUAUGGGUGGAGAACAUCGAGACAGUGAUGCCUCAUACUCAAUAGUGCUGGUUCUAAAAGGAAACAAUUAGAAGCAACUGGGAUAGCAAGAAUUUGAAGUCGGCAGGAAGUCAAAGAAAGACGUAACCAUGGAAACAUAAAUGCCAAAAAAAAUCUGGAAUGUUAGAGAAGAAUGUAGCCUCCUCAUAAUACAUGAGAUAUGAGUUCAAGGCGUUUUAUUUAGUUAUUAAAGCAAAGUGUAGCCUCAGAAUUCAGGAGGAGCUUGAAGACAUCAGGGAGGAAGAAAAAGAUGUACCACUUUCUUCAAGUCUUUUCUGAACAAUAAUGGAUUUACUUCUUUCACCAUUGUUCAGCUUGUUCACCUUUCCAAGCAGAAGGAAGAACUGUCAGAAAAGGACAUAAACACAGUGCGUUUGGAGAAGUGAAGGGGAGGCUCCCCAGAGUACAAAAGAGGAGACAUUUCGAGAAGCUUUUGAGGAUGAGGAAGUGUUGCAGGCAUUGGAGUAUCAGAUAUUUCUUUGCAAAAUACUACUGCAUUCCACCUCAGCCGCUCCAUCCUGCCUUGACCAGGAAAGAUACAAGCUAUGCUUCUAUUUCCUGAGGAAAACAAAAGCCAGUGGAGAAGAAGAAAAUGCAAGCAUAGGAAAGGAUAACCUAUGAAAGUAACAUGUUUUAAAAGACGGAAAGAGAAAGAAUCAAAAUAUAAAUAGAGUGAUGUUUCUUUCAGGUAAGCAAGCACUAUGGUUUUUUUUUCCUCAGACACAGAUGAGAAAUAUUUCAAUUCUAGUUAAGAUUUAUUAAGUGUCUAUUACCAGGUUCCACGCUCUGUAUCCUGGAAUUAGAGAUACAAAUGAGAAAAUAUGGGCUCCGCCCAAGGAACUCACACUUCAGUGAGAGGACGAGCCCGUUAAAUUAAGCAAAGAAAAUAAUCACUUACAAAAUUCCUCUGUGAUAGAACCAUGAGUCAAGCACUCCAGGAACAGAGAUGACAUUGAUUCUGCCAGCAGGAACAGGGGAAAACAUUACAAAACAAGUGACAUUUGCUUGUGACUAGAGUUAAAACCAGGAUUUUGCCAGAGAGAUAAGUUGUGAUGGAAAAUUCUAGCAGAGAAAAUGUGAGCAAAGUCACAGAGAAGUGAAACAAAAAUGAAAGGAAAAUUAUAUAGAGACAUUGAUAGACAAGGAGGUGGAUAAUUGAAAGCGUUUGUGUUCCAGGACUUUCUGUUCUCAUAAAAAGAGAAAUCUAUGUUUGAGAGGGCUCAUGUGAAGGGAGGUUUGGAAUGCGAGGCCUUUGGGGAGUGAUAGAGGGUUAAUAAGAAGCAAUAGGUGUGACCUUAGUUAUGAGUUUAGGCCUCAUGAAUUAUAAGUGAGCUAGGAAGCAUGUGUUAUGUGAAUUUCUCUCAGUGAUCAGUGGCUAACAAAGAAUUAAAGUCUUCCUCUCCUGAUUCUUAGUGAAGGUUUCUGCACUAAUAUACAGUAUUGGUUACCGAAACGGUAUUGCAAGAAAGGCCAGACUCUUGUUUUACCCUGGUGGAUGACACAACACAUAGAGAUAGUUAAUAAACAGGCAUAUGACUCGCAAAUUCCCAGAAAAAUCGUUCUGUGAAAAGCCAACCUCUUCAGGCCCUAGUUAGAAUCGAGUAACCACUUAGAGAUUAAAAAUAACAAAACCAGGGGAUUUUGAGCAAUAUGUCUGGCUGGAGUAAAAUUUAGUUACUUUUACCAAACAAAGUUACUUUCACUAACAUUACCCAGAAUCACUGAAGCACAGAGCAAUAGGAGAUCAAAGGAACAGUCACCAACCCCAAAUCCAAAAAUCAAAGGCACAGCUGGGUGUGCGCACACACACACACACACACACACACAUAUACACACGUGCCUUGGCCCUUAGCUAAAAGACUCUUAAUAUAUUUUCAAACUGUUACUAUGGAAAAUUUUAAACAUAUACAAAAGUAAGAACAGUAAAAUGAACAUUCUUAUACCUAUUACCCAGCUUCAAUAAUUAUAAUCUCAUGGCCAGUCUAGGCUGAUGAGUUGUUAACUUCUUUUCUGUUUCAAGAGGUUUUAUAGAGACCUGAGCAGUUGUAUAAAAGAUGACAGAUGUAUUCAAGAGAACAGAAACUAUUUCAUGCCUACAAAGAGUACAUAUCGGCUUAACAAGGUUGUAAAAUAUAAAGCCAAAGGUUGCAAAAGCCUCUUUUCAAAUAUGCAUAGAAUGAACCAUAAAGAGCACACAGAACAAUUGUAUUCCAUCCUCACAAAAGACCAAUAAAAUUAUAGAGCUUAAAAUGCCCCCAGAGGGUUUAUAUAAGCUCCAAAUAAUUUUUGACUACAGCAUAAUUUAACACUGGAAGGGGCUUCUAUGGGAAGCUAUUAAUUUCCAUCUGUGAUGAUCAUUAAAAAUAUCAUCGACAUCCAUUUAUCUUUGGGGCACAGAGCUGUCACUUAAGUAUCUUUCUAUCUUAUUCAUUUAUUUGUGUAUUAAAUCAAAUUUUACUACAUGGAAUUCAAACAGUUAUGCUGAAUUCUAAGUGAUGCAAUCAAUUUUUUAAUGCAGAAAUGUGUUAAUAUUUCCAAUUUGGUGUAAGUGCAGUUAAUUUGCUAAGGAUUUAUGUGAUAUGGUACUUACGAUUUUAUGGGAAAAAGCAAUCAACAAUUUUGUCUAUCUUUGUUAAUUUAAUCAGUUUACAAAUAAAUAUAUAUAUAUUUAUUUUUAUAUAUAGCUUUCAUCUGAUUAUUAAA